UACGAAGGGUGCAAGCGUUGUUCGGAAUCAUUGGGCGUAAAGCGCGCGUAGGCGGAUCAGCAAGUCAGAUGUGAAAUCUCGAAGCUCAACUUCGAAACUGCGUCUGAAACUGCUAGUCUAGAAUGUCGGAGGGGGCAGGGGAAUUUCACGUGUAGGGGUAAAAUCCGUAGAGAUGGGAAGGAACACCGGGGGCGAAGGCGCCUGCCUGGACGGCUAUUGACGCUGAGGCGCGAAAGCGUGGGGAGCAAACAGG
rnacentral:rRNA from 1 species